rnacentral:rRNA from 1 species
CCAACCGGGAUUGCCCCAGUAACGGCGAGUGAAGCGGCAACAGCUCAAAUUUAAAAUCUGGCCCCCGGGUCCGAAUUGUAAUUUGUAGAAGGUGCUUUGGGAGCGACGACGGUCCAAGUUCCUUGGAAUAGGGCGUCAUAGAGGGUGAGAGUCCCGUAUGCGACCAACUGUCAAUCCCGAACGAAGCCCUUUCGACGAGUCGAGUUGUUUGGGAAUGCAGCUCUAAAUGGGUGGUAAAUUUCAUCUAAAGCUAAAUAUCUGCCGGAGACCGAUAGCGCACAAGUAGAGUGAUCGAAAGAUGAAAAGCACUUUGAAAAGAGAGUCAAACAGUACGUGAAAUUGUUGAAAGGGAAGCGCUUGCAACCAGACUCGCUCCGCAGGGGCUCAACCGACCCUUCGGGGGAAGGUGCACUCUCCUGCGGUCGGGCCAGCAUCGGUUCGGGCGGUCGGACAAAGGCCCAGGGAACGUAGCUCUCUUCGGGGAGUGUUAUAGCCCGGGGUGUAACGCGACCUGCCGGGACCGAGGACCGCGCUCUGCUAGGAUGCUGGCGUAAUGGUUGCCAGCGACCCGUCUUGAAACACGGACCAAGGAGUCGACCAACCGCGCGAGUGUUUGGGCGUGAAACCCAUGCGCGCAAUGAAAGUGAACGUAGGUGGGAGCCUCCGGGCGCACCAUCGACCGAUCUUGAUGUCUUCGGAUGGAUUUGAGUACGAGCACGGUCGGUCGGACCCGAAAGAUGGUGAACUAUGCGUGAAUAGGGUGAAGCCAGAGGAAACUCUGGUGGAGGCUCGCAGCGGUUCUGACGUGCAAAUCGAUCGUCAAAUUUGCGCAUAGGGGCGAAAGGUACGGCACCACCCAUCCUGUUUUUCUUUUUGUGUUUUUGGAGAUCGUCCCCCGGGGUUGAAAUGCAUGCUAACGCAUCUUAACAGACUAAUCGAACCGUCUAGUAGCUGGUUCCUGUCGAAGUUUCCCUCAGGAUAGCAGCAACGAAAAACAGUCUCAUGAGGUAGAGCGAACGAUUAGAGGCCUUGGGGUUGAAACAACCUUAACCUAUUCUCGAACUUCGAAUAUGUGAGAAGUCCUUGUUACUUAGUUGAACGUGGACAUUUGGAUGUAUCGUUGCUAGUGGGCCAUUUUUGGUAAGCAGAACUGGCGAUGCGGGAUGAACCGAACGCGAGGUUACGGUGCCAGAGUGCACGCUCAUCAGACACCACAAAAGGUGUUAGUUCAUCCAGACAGUCGGACGGUGGCCAUGGAAGUCGGAAUCCGCUAAGGAGUGUGUAACAACUCACCGACCGAAUGAACUAGCCCUGAAAAUGGAUGGCGCUCAAGCGUGCCACCUAUACCUCGCCGCUGGGGUAGAAACGAUGCUCCAGCGAGUAGGCAGGCGUA